GACCGCAUGGCGCAGUGGUAGCGCUUCUGAUUCCAGUCCAGAAGGUCGUCCGUUCGAAUCGGGCUGCGGUCA
rfam:Vittaforma corneae ATCC 50505 unplaced genomic scaffold supercont1.7, whole genome shotgun sequence.